CCGAAGCUGCGGCAGCGACGCUGAUACGUUCGUUGGGUAGGGGAGCGUUCUGUAAGCCUGUGAAGGUGUGUCGUGAGGCAUGCUGGAGGUAUCAGAAGUGCGAAUGCUGACAUAAGUAACGAUAAAGCGGGUGAAAAGCCCGCUCGCCGGAAGACCAAGGGUUCCUGUCCAACGUUAAUCGGGGCAGGGUGAGUCGACCCCUAAGGCGAGGCCGAAAGGCGUAGUCGAUGGGAAACAGGUUAAUAUUCC
rnacentral:rRNA from 1 species